GGCUGAUUUAGUUUGGAGGGGAUCAGCUAAAGAGAAAGACAAUUGAAGAGAGAGGGAUCACUGAAGAGAAAGGAGGUGAGGGGGCAGAGCAGGGGGAAAGAAGGUAUUCUUACAACUGGAGGCCAGGAGUCUACAAGGUCCCAUGGAAAGAGCACUGAUACAAGAUGAGGGAAGAGAUGCUAUUCGAGACUUCAGAAUCGGCGGGGGAGCAGACCAACAGUGCGUGAAGGGGUAGGACAGAAGCACCAGAGAUCAGAGGGAAUGGAGAAGGAAGAGGGUUUGCUGCAUUUCCACAGCGGGCAUUCUCACCUCCCAAUGGGAAUGUCACCACCUGAUCUGCAAGCCUGCGGAUCAUCAGAAACUCCUAUCAAAGCAGGAGCUGGGACUGAGGAUGUUGAACAGCUUUGCAACUGGUGGGGUUUCCACCCCUACGACCUUUGGACUAACAAGCAGAGGUGGGAGAUGAACUCUUCUUCACCAGUCAAAGAGGACACAUGAAUACGUUUGAAAGAAAUGCAAAGGAAUGAAGGAAGCGGAACAGACAUACAGCCACAACUAGGCUUAGCUGGGCAACAUAAGGCCAGCUGCUUACGGAUUGUGGCAGAGGGUCUGGAAUGCAUGCCAAACAGUUCUGCCUUUUUGUAUUUGCCUACCUACCUGUAAGGCCCUCAUCACCACAGUAUCCAAAUGGCUAGGUUUUGAGUUGCUUGAGCACAGCAAGAGUCAUUAAUCACUUGAUUAGAAACAGGCUGCCAAGUCAGCUAGGAAGCCAAAGAGCCCAGAGCAUCCGCAAUGACUAGGAAGUUCCAAUAUAAAGAAGAUCUUUGGGAGGAAAGGAUUUGGAACACUAAUAUCCAGGUUAUGCGACAAUAGAUUAACUCUUCACAAAAUCUAAAUCCUCGUGGCUAGGUAGGAGUGAACUUUACAUCCUCAAUUCUGCAUUCCAGGGAGAAGCUUAAUAGGGAGUCCUUAAAUUGGUUAUUUUAGGAGAAGACUGAUGUCAGAUUGGCAUAUUAUAGGGAGGGAUACAAAGCAAACUAUGUGGAAACACAUUCACACCAAUUAAGAGGAGUUAUUCAUCCCAACUCCAAUCAGUAAAUAUUUAAAGUUUUAACAAUUAGUUACCUUAACUCUGGAUAAGUUUAAAAACAAAGUCUUCUAGAGUCCAGCAACAAAAAAACUUCCACUCUAAUUUCCUAUUAAUUAUAGGUAGAACUGGUAGCACUACUAUGCGAAUACUCAAAAAUUCCCAUUGUAAGACCCCGUUUUCACUUGCUUAUAACUUUUUAACCUUUGACAUUAUCCAUGCUGGGUGUUUGCCUCAAGCUUUUUUUUUUUUAAACAGUUUCAGGCUGUUCCAAGAUUAGGGAAAAAACACAUUUUGCCAGUAUUAAAAGUUAAUGCUUCCCUGCUUUGGAGCAGGGGACUUAAUAUUUGGCAGGGGGUCUCUCAUGUCACAGCUGUGCCUUUUAUCAGCCGCAGGAAAAUUUGGCCAAGUUAGAAGUCUCUGAAAAAUCUCUGCUCGGGAAAGACUUGUCCGAGUUUGGCAGCUAAAUUCUCCAACGAGCAGGACUUUCCCAGCAAGUGCUCCACCCCGUUACCAGCAUCCACUGUGAUGCCGAGCACAGACGUAUAUGAACACACAUGCACAAGGGGGCCGAAUUAAGGUUGAAUGGGUGAUUUUCAUUCUGGAAUUUCCUAACUUGAGUGACUAACUCUGCAACCUUAAUGAGAUGAAUGAUGGUGCAGUGGCUAGGCUGUUAGCUUGGGACAAGAGAGAUACAGGUUCAAUUUCCUGCUUUGCUACAAACUCCUUGUGUGAUUUGGGGGUUAAACAAGAUGACCCUUGUGGUCCCUUCUAGCCCUAUGAAUCUAUUAAUAUCAUAUACAGUGUGAUCCUUCCCUCCUUAAGUGCUCAAGGCCCCUACAAAAGAAUGCAAUAUAAAUAAAAGCAUAUACAACUAACACACAAACAAGUAAUCAAUAAUGGGGAGAAUAGUGAGUAAAUGAUGUGCCCUGCUUCACACCUAUCCAUCAUUUUACACAGGAACCCAGUUACCACAGUUCUCAGCUCCUUAAAUCAGAUCAACUGGCCAAAAUAAGUAGCCGAUUCAGUGAUUGAAAUAAAUCCUGAAGUGAGCUUUAUACAGUUCAGGGUCCAGGUAGCAUAGAACAGAGGUUUGUUAAUUUAAUUCAGAACAUCCACGUUUUAUUCUUUAUUUGCUCACGAAUCAUCUCUCCUGAGAGCAAUGACUGAGAACUCUUCUUUCUGGAGUAGCAUGCUGAGGGAGAUUUCUUCACCGUGGAACUUCUGCUUUCGUGCUAGGAGACACAUCUGCUCUAAAAUCACUUACUCUGUCUGCUUAACAGUGACAACAGGAGUGGAGAGUUUACAUCCAAUUUAGAGAAUUACAUUAUUUUAUUCAGAAAACAAGAUAUCCUUGCAGGAGCAAAAGAAACUUGUGAAGUUGAGAAAGGGCAGAUGGAGGGGGUAUAUCUUGGACAUGUGUAUGAUAAGCACCAGUGUUGCCUAUAGAUAAAAGAAUCCAUCAGUAAAUGCUUUUGUCAAUACCAUGUAUUUGCCAUGAGUAUUUCCAUAUCUAAAAGGAAAAAAUUAAAACCACAUGCUCAGGCUUACAAAGUCCCUCCUAUGUAUAUGCACAUCAAAAACAGAAUGGCCAACCCACCUGGGAAAACCAAGGUCACACAGUAACCUUGACCAGAAUUAGCAGAGUUGUACCAUCAGAGAGGGUUUAUGAGAUCUUCACAAAGGCAGUACUUUAAAUGAACAAAACAGCCUUCCUUCAAAAGGAGCCUUUUCUGAUGUGCUAAUACAUGCAAUCUCUUAGGCUGCCUCAGAGUGUUACACCACAAUAUUCGGUUAGUUCUCUUCCACACACAGUCAUUUCUCCAGAGUAACUUCUUGCAAAACACUAGUGAUAAUCCCAAUAGGAUAGUUCCAUUAUACUAGAACACCUCCAAGAAGUUUUGAUGGCAACAUGGUGAAAACAGGGAAAUGGGGGGAGGGAGAAGGGAGAGGAGUGUCAUGAGGAAGACCAUCACUGUGUACCUAAUGCAAAGUCUGUGACUGCAUCAGUAUGACCAACUGGGGUGGGUUCCUUAGCACUUACUUACACUAAAUGUGGACACAUCCAGUGUAAGGCAUGCACUAAGAGGGUUCUGAAAAAGGUAAAAUAUACUUCAGAGUGCUAUCCGAGUAUAUUUCAUUGGUCAGUGAAACAAAAUUCCAACAGAUCCAAGAGGAAAGCAUAAUGAGAUCAAUCAUGCAGUGAAAGUGGACCCUGAAGAUGCUAAAGAUUUCAUACUAGAGCAGUCAGGAAAUGACUAAAUGGGGGGAGGGAUAGCUCAGUAGUUUGAGCAUUGGCCUGCUAAAUCCAGCGUUGAGAGCUCAAUCCUUGAGGGGGCCAUUUAGGGAUCCAGCGUUGAGAGCUCAAUCCUUGAGGGGGCCAUUUAAGGCAAAAAUUGGGGAUUGGUCCUGCUUGAGCAGGGGGUUAGACUAGAUGACCUCCUGAGCUCCCUUCCAACCCUGAUAUUGUAUGAUUCUAUGAAGUUCAGAACAAAGGCCCAUAGAAAUAACUGUGGAAGUGAGCUGUAGCUCACGAAAGCUCAUGCUCAAAUAAAUUGGUUAGUCUCUAAGGUGCCACAAGUACUCCUUUUCUUUUUGCGAAUACAGACUAACACGGCUGUUCCUCUGAAACAGAAAUAACUAUUUCUUUUACUGGACCAAUUUCUGUUCGUGGGGGAGAGAGAAGCUUCUGAGCCACACAGAGCUCUUCUUCAGGACCCGAAGAAGAGCUCUGUGCGUCUCAGAAGUGUGCUUCUCUCACUAACAGAAUUUAGUCCAAUGAAAGAUAUUACCUCACCCACCUUGUGUCUCUCGUAUCCUGGGACUGACUCAGCUAUAACUACACUACACACACGUUUCUUUUGCCAGCCUUUUCUACGCCUCCAUCUCCUCCCCUCUAAAGUAAAAGAGGAGGAAUUGUAGGUGUUUGCAGUUCUCUGGAGAGCUGUUUUUUGGAUUCAUUUUAAGUUGCAAGUGUGUUUCAGAGGGGUUAGGUCUAAAACCGACUGCUUUGUGGAUGUUUAUCCAUGCCACAAUACUUCUACACAAUUUGCUAGGAUUAUCAUUCUCUGCUAAGGACUGAGAUGCACUAGCAAAACUAUGUGAGAAGGCUUGCUCAGUGCCAUACUUAGUUGUAUAUGAACAUUCACAUCCCUAAAAUUCUCUCCUUUUGCAGCAGAGCUGGAAGUCAUGCCCUUCCCAACCUUUCACCCUCCCACAGUGAAGGGAGGAGGAAGAUGCAGUCUAGAAGGGGAGAGUGCGAGGGUGGUGCAGCAACUUAAAGCAAGGUAAAGAUAAGGGCUUGUCUGUAUGGGACAUUCAUGCACGGCAGGUCAGUGCCUGACUUUACAGUGCAUGCUUGCUACACAGUAAUGUCCCACAUGGACA